CCUACGGGUGGCAGCAGUGGGGAAUAUUGCACAAUGGAGGGAACCCUGAUGCAGCAACGCCGCGUGGGUGAAGAAGUACUCCGGUAUGUAAAGCCCUGUUAGCAGGGAAGAAAAUGACGGUACCUGACCAAGACGCCCCGGCUAACUACGUGCCACCAGACGCGGUAAUACGUAGGGGGCAAGCGUUAUCCGGAUUAAUGGGUGGUAAGGGAGCGGAGACGGCUAGGGCAGUCUGGAGUGAAAACCCGGGGCCCAACCACGGGACUGCUUUGGAACCUGUGGGGCUGGAGUGCAGGAGGGGUAAGCGGAAUUCCUAGUGUAGCGGUGAAAUGCGUAGAUAUUAGGAGGAACUCCGGUGGCGAAGGCGGCUUACUGGACUGUAACUGACGUUGAGGCUCGAAGGCGUGGGGAGCAAACAGGAUUAGAUACCCUUGUAGUC
rnacentral:rRNA from 1 species